GAUGAAGAACGCAGCGAAAUGCGUUAAGUAAUGUGAAUUGCAGAAUUCAGUGAAUCAUCGAAUCUUUGAACGCACAUUGCGCCCGCCAGUAUUCUGGCGGGCAUGCCUGUCCGAGCGUCAUUUCAACCAUCAAGCCCCGGGCUUGUGUUGGGGACCUGCGUCCGACGCAGGCCCUGAAAACCAGUGGCGGGCUCGCUGUCCACACCGAGCGUAGUAACUAACCUCGCUAUGGAGUGGCGCGGGCGCCUGCCGUAAAACCCCCAAUUUCACAAGGUUGACCUCGGAUCAGGUAGGAAUACCCGCUGAACUUAAGCAUAUCAAUAAGCGGAGGA
rnacentral:misc_RNA from 1 species